CUGAAACGUAGAUGGUGCGUUACAUAAUCCGAAGGGAAGUACAUUGAAUUGAUAUAGGCCGUCAUAAGUGGUGAAUGCUGUUAUUUCUUUGGACGAUUCGUCCAUUUCUACCUGCCAAAAUCCAGAAAACAAAUCUAAGGUGGUAAAGAAUUGUGUUUGGCCUAAUAAGUCCAAAGAUUCUUGAAUAUGUGGUAAAGGGUAAGAAUCCUUUUUUUUGUUACAGCAUUCAGUUUUCUGUAAUCGACACAAAAACGAGUUGAACCGUCUUUUUUCUUUACGAGCACUACUGGACUCGCCCAUGGGCUAACUGAAGGUUCAAUAAUGUUGGCCUCAAGCAUUGUCUGGAUGUGUUCUGUUAUAGUUUCACGUUGUGUUGGUGCAGUACGAUAUGGUCUCUGUCGUAUAGGUGGAGAACCAUCAGUAAAAAUUUGGUGUUUAACGAUGGAUGUUCGACCUAAAUCAUGUGUACUUUGUGAAAAGAUAUCCGCAUUAUCCGAUAAAAAA